rnacentral:lncRNA from 1 species
UUGCUUUCAGAAAUAACAUUACAUGCAUAUAAAAAAAAUAUCAGAUGUACUUUAAAGUUUUAAUCAAUCAGUUAUUUUUAAAACUUCCCCUGACAAAUUGUAUUUACCCACCAUUUCUCAAAUCCUCCAAAUCUAUUAUCUAGAGCUCUGUUUACAUUUUUUUUUAUUUACAGAACUCUAAAUAAUAGUUAUUUUAGCAAGUAUACAUCUGAUAUUUGAAAAAAUGUGUACAAAAGUGAAUAUCUAAAUAAAAAAAAGUUAUAUUCCCU